rnacentral:rRNA from 1 species
GACGAACGCUGGCGGCGUGCCUAAUACAUGCAAGUAGGACGCAGUUGCGAACGGGUGAGUAACGCGUAGGUAACUACCUAUUAGAGGGGGCUAACUAUUGGAAACGAUAGCUAAUACCGCCUACUAGUAGAUGGACCUGCGUUGUAUUAGCUAGUAGGUAGGGUAAUGGCCUACCUAGGCAACGAUACAUAGCCGGCCGUGGAGGGUGGUCGGCCACACUGGGACUGAGACACGGGCCAGACUCCUACGGGAGGCAGCAGUAGGGAAACUUCGGCAAUGGGGGGAAACCUGACCGAGCAACGCCGGGGGAGGGAAGAAGGUUUUCGGAUUGUAAAACUCUGUUGUUAAGGAAGCGGUACUUAACCAGAAAGGAACGGCUAACUACGUGCCAGCAGCCGCGGUAAUAC